AUUACAUUUUUAUUAGAA
rnacentral:tRNA from 1 species